UGGAACAGAAGGCCAAAGUGAAAGAAUACAAAAGCAGAAAAACUCUCUGGGGUCAGCCCUCUCUCUAGAAAUCAGUUCUCUCCUCGGCAAAAAUUUCACCCAAAUCAAAAUCCCUCAAAUCAAAAUGUGAAUCUCAUUUGUCAGGUAUGUUCAAAUCCCUAAUCUUUUCGUUUUUUUUUUUUUUUUGAGAAAGAAGCUGCUCUGCUUUAAUUGAUCGAUUUUGUGGAGGAAGAAUCAAAGAAACGAUUUAUGUUCCUAAUCGAUUUCGUAUUUCCUUUCCUUCUUAUUUGUUACUAUCUCAUAUCUAACUAAAACCCUAUAAAGAUUUAUAUAAGAUAUAUUUACAUUUGGGUAUUUUUUACAAUGAUUCUGUAAGACAAAAUUUCCAACAUGCAGUUAAGGAUAAAUAUAUUUUAAGCAAUUUCACAUUUGUAUUCUGAGAUUUCAUCUCGAAUUUCUCUGAACCAUUUGAUAAUUUACAGGAAUACAACAAAAAUAAUCACACAGAAAGAAUCAUUUAAAGCGUACUUGGUAUUAUUAUUAUUGAUUCCCGGUCUUGAUAGAAUCUUAUCUCUUUUCCAAGGUAAGUUAAAACCUUCUUCUUGAGAGACCUUUUACAUGUCGGCAUUUCAUUCUUAUUUUUUUUCUUAUAUGGUUAUGUGCCUAAUCAGUAGACAUGUAGUUUUUAAUUUUAUAAGGCAUACAUAUAUUAUUGUAUGGUUAUAAGAAAACAUAGUACUUCUUUGCGAAUGAUGUGGUGAAGUUAGAGUCUCUAGUGGUUCUCAAGAGGUCUUUCGAUAUUGUUAACAGUGCUUGAGAGGUAGUCUAAGUAUGUGAUUAACCUUGCACUAUGCAUCUGUUUCCUUGCUUGUGUGUCUUACUAAUCUUCAACAAUAUAUAUUGUUUUAUUGUGUUAUUCUUGUAUGCAAUCCAAAUAUUCUGGGCAGAGGACAAACCAUAAUAACAAGAAUUAAAAGAGUACAAAAUUUCUACUUUUGUCAAGAGAAGUCACAGGGUAAGUUCCAUCUGUUUGGCUUACUUAAUAUAUUUGUUGUUAUUUUUUCAAUUUUAUCAUUUUGGUGCUAAAUAUGCACGGGGAUUUGAUUCUUGCAACAACUGAAGUACAUUUUAGAUAGUGGUCAUAAUCUUCCCUUACCUGAUGGCCUUAUUAUCAAUGGUCAUUUAUGGAACAGAUACACAUUUACAUAUGCGAAAGAACAGAGUAGAAAUUCAAUUAGCAUUGAGAAACCAAACCGCA
rnacentral:lncRNA from 1 species